GGCAUAACUUUGAUCACGAGAAUGCCUUGCACCUCUGGUGGACUGAAUGGACCGAUUCACAAAUGUGUCCUAUCUUAUUCAUUUAAGAACAUCAGGGCCCAAAUGUGAAGUGCCUAUAAUGUGCAGAACUGAAGUCUUAGAUGCCUGUGGAGAAACUGUGAGGACAGACCUUCGGCCUCCCAGCUAUUGUCACCAGGAGAAGCAGCCACCCUCACAGGCAAGGCUGGCCAGAAUGUUGGCAGCUACUUGUCCUGAUACCAGCGUAAACCAGGGUAGCCUCCCUACUUUAUCAUCUAUGGUGCAUCCACCAGGGAUCCUGACAUUGCAUCAAGGUUCAGUGACAAAGGGUCUGGCAUAGACUUUACUCUCACUAGGACCAGACUGAUGCCUGAGGAUGUUGCAGCUUAUUAUUGUCAGAAGAUGAAUAUCGCGUGUC